rnacentral:lncRNA from 1 species
AGUAGAGCUCUCCCUCCCUUGAAUCCCAAUGUUAUAUAAUAUCUGCUACUCAAGGAGUGAUCGUUGUUGAAUGAAGGAAUGAAUCUUCACAGUCAAGUUCAAGUUCCAGCUGCUUGGCUUUCGACCAUGAGUCACAAUUCUCCCCUUCUUGUUUGUACCUGGUCUUUUUUCCUCCUCUUUGGUUUCUACAUCUCAUUCAUACCCAUAAGGGAGUGGAGAAAAGCCAAAGGAAACAUAAGAAAAGGUUUGGUUGAAACAGGAAAGUACAUUGUCGUAGAGAGAGGAGUCUAUGUGCUGUUCCAUUGCCUUCCCCAAAAACCAAUACAUAAUGAGUACUCCACCUG